rnacentral:lncRNA from 1 species
CAACCAAUCCAAUAUAAGUACAAAACCGUAAUACAUAGUCAAAUAAAUUUGGAUUCCACCGGUCCAGCCAGCCUUUUAACCAAUGCAUCCGACUUAACGGUUAUUCUAGUUAAAAGGGGAAAAGAAGUUUAUUGUAAAUUUGAUAUAUGAGCAAUUUGGUACAAAUGCCAUUCCCCUACUUGGGAGAUGGAGGACGAAGGGAUAUUCGGUUUUGCUAUAACAUUAUGGUGUUGGGGGGAAUUUCCGGAGCAAGUAUGAAUGCAGUGUGACAGUGCUAAUAAUAGUAAUAAAU